UCUGGGUUGGAACUGCUCUGCAAAGAUAAGUGGAAGAAACUGUUUAUUUGUAAGAGAAAGAAUGAUGAUGGCAGAAAAAGGAGAGCUGAAUGCAGUCACUAAGAAAAUUUUGCACCCUGAGACUCCGUACCACGAUCCUGUAACAUUAGCAAUUAUGAAAAUUAUUAAAUGGUUGAUAUGAAUGAAGGAGUUAGUUCUGUUUUCUGGUGUCA
rnacentral:lncRNA from 1 species